rnacentral:tRNA from 1 species
GAAGAUUUAGUUAAAUCAUAACAUUAGUAUGUCAAUCUAAAAUAAUUAUAUCAAGUAAUAAUCUUCU